rnacentral:rRNA from 1 species
GCUUACGGCCAUACCACCCUGAGAACGCCCGAUCUCGUCUGAUCUCGGAAGCUAAGCAGGGUCGGGCCUGGUUAGUACUUGGAUGGGAGACCGCCUGG